rnacentral:rRNA from 1 species
UACGUAGGGUGCAAGCGUUGUCCGGAAUUAUUGGGCGUAAAGAGCUCGUAGGCGGUUUGUUGCGUCGGCUGUGAAAUCCCGAGGCUCAACCUCGGGUCUGCAGUCGAUACGAGCAAACUAGAGUGUUGCAGGGGAGACUGGAAUUCCUGGUGUAGCGGUGAAAUGCGCAGAUAUCAGGAGGAACACCGGUGGCGAAGGCGGGUCUCUGGGCAACAACUGACGCUGGAGGAGCGAAAGUGUGGGGAGCGAACAGG